CUCUGUGACUCCUACGGGAGGCAGCAGUGGGAAUAUUGCACAAUGGGCGCAAGCCUGAUGCAGCAACGCCGUGUGAGUGAAGAAGGUUUUCGGAUCGUAAAACUCUGUCCUAAGGGAAGAAACAAAUGACGGUACCUUAGGAGGAAGCCCCGGCUAACUACGUGCCAGCAGCCGCGGUAAUACGUAGGGGGCAAGCGUUAUCCGGAAUCACUGGGCGUAAAGGGUGCGUAGGCGGCUUAGCAAGCCAGGGGUGAAAGGCAUUGGCUCAACCAAUGUAAGCCUUUGGAACUGUUAAGCUUGAGUGCAGGAGAGGUAAGUGGAAUUCCUAGUGUAGAGGUGAAAUUCGUAGAUAUUAGGAGGAACACCAGUGGCGAAGGCGACUUACUGGACUGUAACUGACGCUGAUGCACGAAAGCGUGGGUAGCGAACAGGAUUAGAUACCCUGGUAG
rnacentral:rRNA from 1 species